CAGAGCAUAGCUUAGCACAGUAAAGCACCUCCCUUACACCGAGAUAUCACCCGUGCAAACCGGGUUGCCCUGA
rnacentral:tRNA from 1 species